CAAGGCCCUCUGGUUUCUGAAGCAGUGUAUGACUCUCUUCAAGAGCCCACAGGCCCCCAUCCGCCAGGCAGCCGUACGGUUUGCAGGCCAGAUCAUCCCAACCCUCGACGCAGAAGAGGCCAGUGAUAUUGAGGAAGUAUACGCUGCCCUAAGGUCCAUGCGGGAAGACCCCGACCCCAUGGUCAGCUGCCUCGCCACUCAGACCCUCUACAUCCUGGAAGCCCGGGAGAAGCUGCUGG